GAUGAACGCUAGCGAUAGGCUUAACACAUGCAAGUCGAGGGGCAGCAUGGUCUUAGCUUGCUAAGACUGAUGGCGACCGGCGCACGGGUGCGUAACGCGUAUGCAACUUGCCUCACAGAGGGGGAUAACCCGUCGAAAGACGGACUAAUACCGCGUACACUCCAUCUUGGGCAUCCAAGGUAGAGGAAAUGAAAUUCGCUGUGAGAUAGGCAUGCGUCCCAUUAGCUAGUUGGUGAGGUAACGGCUCACCAAGGCGACGAUGGGUAGGGGAACUGAGAGGGUGAACCCCCACACUGGUACUGAGACACGGACCAGACUCCUACGGGAGGCAGCAGUGAGGAAUAUUGGUCAAUGGGCGAGAGCCUGAACCAGCCAAGUCGCGUGAAGGAUGACUGUCUUAUGGAUUGUAAACUUCUUUUAUGCGGGAAUAACAAGAGUCACGUGUGACUCCCUGCAUGUACCGUAUGAAUAAGCAUCGGCUAACUCCGUG
rnacentral:rRNA from 1 species